rnacentral:rRNA from 1 species
UACAGAGGGUGCGAGCGUUGUUCGGAAUUAUUGGGCGUAAAGGGCGCGUAGGCGGUGCGGUAAGUCACCUGUGAAAUCUCCUGGCUCAACCCGGGAACUGCGUCCGAUACUGGCAGGCUUGAAUCCGGGAGAGGGAUGUGGAAUUCCAGGUGUAGCGGUGAAAUGCGUAGAUAUCUGGAGGAACACCGGUGGCGAAGGCGGCAUCCUGGACCGGCAUUGACGCUGAGGCGCGAAAGCCAGGGGAGCAAACGGGG